GGGUUGUGAGGUUAAGCGACUAAGCGUACACGGUGGAUGCCCUGGCAGUCAGAGGCGAUGAAGGACGUGCUAAUCUGCGAAAAGCGCCGGCGAGGUGAUAUGAACCUUUGACCCGGCGAUGUCCGAAUGGGGAAACCCAGUGCAAUUCGUUGCACUAUCGUUAACUGAAUACAUAGGUUAACGAGGCGAACCGGGGGAACUGAAACAUCUAAGUACCCCGAGGAAAAGAAAUCAACCGAGAUUCCCCCAGUAGCGGCGAGCGAACGGGGAGCAGCCCAGAGUCUGAAUCAGCUUGUGUGUUAGUGGAACGGUCUGGAAAGUCCGGCGAUACAGGGUGACAGCCCCGUACACGAAAGCACACAGGCUGUGAACUCGAAGAGUAGGGCGGGACACGUGGUAUCCUGUCUGAAUAUGGGGGGACCAUCCUCCAAGGCUAAAUACUCCUGACUGACCGAUAGUGAACCAGUACCGUGAGGGAAAGGCGAAAAGAACCCCGGCGAGGGGAGUGAAAAAGAACCUGAAACCGUGUACGUACAAGCAGUGGGAGCACCUUCGUGGUGUGACUGCGUACCUUUUGUAUAAUGGGUCAGCGACUUAUAUUCUGUAGCAAGGUUAACCGUAUAGGGGAGCCGAAGGGAAACCGAGUCUUAACUGGGCGUUAAGUUGCAGGGUAUAGACCCGAAACCCGGUGAUCUAGCCAUGGGCAGGUUGAAGGUUGGGUAACACUAACUGGAGGACCGAACCGACUAAUGUUGAAAAAUUAGCGGAUGACUUGUGGCUGGGGGUGAAAGGCCAAUCAAACCGGGAGAUAGCUGGUUCUCCCCGAAAGCUAUUUAGGUAGCGCCUCGUGAACUCAUCUUCGGGGGUAGAGCACUGUUUCGGCUAGGGGGCCAUCCCGGCUUACCAACCCGAUGCAAACUACGAAUACCGAAGAAUGUUAUCACGGGAGACACACGGCGGGUGCUAACGUCCGUCGUGAAGAGGGAAACAACCCAGACCGCCAGCUAAGGUCCCAAAGUCAUGGUUAAGUGGGAAACGAUGUGGGAAGGCACAGACAGCCAGGAUGUUGGCUUAGAAGCAGCCAUCAUUUAAAGAAAGCGUAAUAGCUCACUGGUCGAGUCGGCCUGCGCGGAAGAUGUAACGGGGCUAAACCAUGCACCGAAGCUGCGGCAGCGACGCUUAUGCGUUGUUGGGUAGGGGAGCGUUCUGUAAGCCGUUGAAGGUGUGCUGUGAGGCAUGCUGGAGGUAUCAGAAGUGCGAAUGCUGACAUAAGUAACGAUAAAGCGGGUGAAAAGCCCGCUCGCCGGAAGACCAAGGGUUCCUGUCCAACGUUAAUCGGGGCAGGGUGAGUCGACCCCUAAGGCGAGGCCGAAAGGCGUAGUCGAUGGGAAACAGGUUAAUAUUCCUGUACUUGGUGUUACUGCGAAGGGGGGACGGAGAAGGCUAUGUUAGCCGGGCGACGGUUGUCCCGGUUUAAGCAUGUAGGCGGAGGUUCCAGGUAAAUCCGGUACCUUUUAACGCUGAGGUGUGAUGACGAGGCACUACGGUGCUGAAGUAACAAAUGCCCUGCUUCCAGGAAAAGCCUCUAAGCAUCAGGUAACACGAAAUCGUACCCCAAACCGACACAGGUGGUCAGGUAGAGAAUACCAAGGCGCUUGAGAGAACUCGGGUGAAGGAACUAGGCAAAAUGGUGCCGUAACUUCGGGAGAAGGCACGCUGAUAUGUAGGUGAAGCCCCUGCGGGUGGAGCUGAAAUCAGUCGAAGAUACCAGCUGGCUGCAACUGUUUAUUAAAAACACAGCACUGUGCAAACACGAAAGUGGACGUAUACGGUGUGACGCCUGCCCGGUGCCGGAAGGUUAAUUGAUGGGGUUAGCGGCAACGCGAAGCUCUUGAUCGAAGCCCCGGUAAACGGCGGCCGUAACUAUAACGGUCCUAAGGUAGCGAAAUUCCUUGUCGGGUAAGUUCCGACCUGCACGAAUGGCGUAAUGAUGGCCAGGCUGUCUCCACCCGAGACUCAGUGAAAUUGAACUCGCUGUGAAGAUGCAGUGUACCCGCGGCAAGACGGAAAGACCCCGUGAACCUUUACUAUAGCUUGACACUGAACACUGGUCCUUGAUGUGUAGGAUAGGUGGGAGGCUUUGAAGCGUGGACGCCAGUCUGCGUGGAGCCAACCUUGAAAUACCACCCUUUAAUGGCUGGUGUUCUAACGUAGACCCGUAAUCCGGGUUGCGGACAGUGUCUGGUGGGUAGUUUGACUGGGGCGGUCUCCUCCCAAAGAGUAACGGAGGAGCACGAAGGUUAGCUAAUCCUGGUCGGACAUCAGGAGGUUAGUGCAAUGGCAUAAGCUAGCUUGACUGCGAGAGUGACGGCUCGAGCAGGUGCGAAAGCAGGUCAUAGUGAUCCGGUGGUUCUGAAUGGAAGGGCCAUCGCUCAACGGAUAAAAGGUACUCCGGGGAUAACAGGCUGAUACCGCCCAAGAGUUCAUAUCGACGGCGGUGUUUGGCACCUCGAUGUCGGCUCAUCACAUCCUGGGGCUGAAGUAGGUCCCAAGGGUAUGGCUGUUCGCCAUUUAAAGUGGUACGCGAGCUGGGUUUAGAACGUCGUGAGACAGUUCGGUCCCUAUCUGCCGUGGGCGCUGGAGAAUUGAGGGGGGCUGCUCCUAGUACGAGAGGACCGGAGUGGACGCAUCACUGGUGUUCGGGUUGUCAUGCCAAUGGCACUGCCCGGUAGCUAAAUGCGGAAAAGAUAAGUGCUGAAAGCAUCUAAGCACGAAACUUGCCCCGAGAUGAGUUCUCCCUGACCCUUUAAGGGUCCUGAAGGAACGUUGAAGACGACGACGUUGAUAGGUCGGGUGUGUAAGCGCAGCGAUGCGUUGAGCUAACCGAUACUAAUGAACCGUGAGGCUUAACCUUACAACGCCGAAGCUGUU
rnacentral:rRNA from 1 species